rnacentral:sRNA from 1 species
UCCGUAGGUGAACCUGCGGAAGGAUCAUUACCUAGAGUUUGCAGACUUCGGUCUGCUACCUCUUACCCAUGUCUUUUGAGUACCUUCGUUUCCUCGGCGGGUCCGCCCGCCGAUUGGACAACAUUCAAACCCUUUGCAGUUGCAAUCAGCGUCUGAAAAAACAUAAUAGUUACAACUUUCAACAACGGAUCUCUUGGUUCUGGCAUCGAUGAAGAACGCAGCGAAAUGCGAUAAGUAGUGUGAAUUGCAGAAUUCAGUGAAUCAUCGAAUCUUUGAACGCACAUUGCGCCCCUUGGUAUUCCAUGGGGCAUGCCUGUUCGAGCGUCAUUUGUACCUUCAAGCUCUGCUUGGUGUUGGGUGUUUUGUCUCGCCUCCGCGUGUAGACUCGCCUUAAAACAAUUGGCAGCCGGCGUAUUGAUUUCGGAGCGCAGUACAUCUCGCGCUUUGCACUCAUAACGACGACGUCCAAAAGUACAUUUUUACACUCUUGACCUCGGAUCAGGUAGGGAUACCCGCUGAACUUAAGCAUAUCAAUAAGCGGAGGAAAAGAAACCAACAGGGAUUGCCCUAGUAACGGCGAGUGAAGCGGCAACAGCUCAAAUUUGAAAUCUGGCGUCUUUGGCGUCCGAGUUGUAAUUUGCAGAGGGCGCUUUGGCAUUGGCAGCGGUCCAAGUUCCUUGGAACAGGACGUCACAGAGGGUGAGAAUCCCGUACGUGGUCGCUAGCCUUUACCGUGUAAAGCCCCUUCGACGAGUCGAGUUGUUUGGGAAUGCAGCUCUAAAUGGGAGGUAAAUUUCUUCUAAAGCUAAAUACUGGCCAGAGACCGAUAGCGCACAAGUAGAGUGAUCGAAAGAUGAAAAGCACUUUGGAAAGAGAGUUAAAAAGCACGUGAAAUUGUUGAAAGGGAAACGCUUGAAGU